GUCAGGGAUGGCCGAUCGGUCUAAGGCGCUGACAAUGUUUCAGAGGUUAAAGACUUCUGUGGGGGUUCGAAUCCCACUUUUGACA